UACCAGCACCCGAGUGGUCGGGACGAUUAUUGGGCCUAAAGGCAUCCGUAGCCGGCCUUACAAGUCCUCCGUUAAAUCCAGCUGCUUAACAGAUGGGCUGCGGAGAUACUAUAAGACUAGGAGGCAGGAGAGGCAAGCGGUACUCAGUGGGUAGGGGUAAAAUCCGUUGAUCCAUUGAAGACCACCAGUGGCGAAGGCGGCUUGCCAGAACGCGCUCGACGGUGAGGGAUGAAAGCUGGGGGAGCAAACCGGG
rnacentral:rRNA from 1 species